UAUGUUUUCAACUAAAUAUAUUAAAAAUUACAAAAAAAAAUGGCUGAAAUGUCUUUCAUUUGCUUAUUUCUUAUCGUCCGAUCACCUAUUGCCAGAAGGUCUUUCUUAACUUUGUCUCUUUCAAAAAACGUUCCCCAUUCUCUCAAUUCCCACCAUUGUUAUUUUACUCUGUCAUGGAAGAUGAAAAGAGACUCAACAACAAGAAACAGGGUAUGUUAUACAAAAUCAUAAACGGAUAACACCUCUUCAGAUCCGAAUGUUUAUUAUCUAAAACUGAGGAAUUUCUACUUGAAAAAGAUUCACAAAUUUCCAGUAACUAUUAUACAUUUUAUCGUCUCCAACCAAAAUCCAAUUCGAGGACAUCACAUUUCCAACUCUCAACCAGCUUUCCCUGAACUAAGAAUAUUUGACUUCCACUUUCCACCUUAAACCAUCUGCUGUAUGGUUUAGCUAAGAGGAAUCGACACAGCACAGUCACAUACCAAGAGGGUGUUUGGAUUGGCUAAUAAUGAAUGAAGCUAGAAAUGUAGUGUAUAAAAAAGUUUUCCGUAAUUUAGUUUGAGAUGAAUCUAGACAUGGUGGAAUUAUCAGAGAGAGAUGAAGAUGCACCAUAAAGUCUUGAUGAUAGCCUAUGCACCUACAAUUGAUGGGUAUACUGGGAAUGCUCUAGCAGUUAAUGCCUUAGAGCUACUAUGCUCAUAGUCAGCCAUUGAGGUCACUUCGUUCAGUUCUACAUCCAUUGAAGUAGAUAUGUAAGAAAUCACAGUCAUAUACAAUAUUGAGAGUGUUAGCUCCAUCUUUGGAUACAAUUGGAAUAGUUCAACAGUUGUGUAAUAAUGCAAGUUGUGUAAUAAUGCAGGAAAGAUUUGAGUUUUCAGUUAACUGAAUAAUCCAUAAUGAGAAUGAAGCAUACACAUUAGUACUAACAUUACUGUUUA